rnacentral:misc_RNA from 1 species
GUCAAACCAACCAACCUAAUAUGAAAGCUUGUAUCUUUUGGAUACUUCACAAUAACAUUGUUCAAUGCUAGUUUUGCAGGUAACAUCAACUUGUAUUGGAUUUUAUUUCCAUACAGUUUUCCCACUCAAAUCAUUCGAGAGUCAUAUUUUAAAAGUUGACUCGUAUUACGUGUAAUUGAUUACACGAUUAAAGAUAUACAAUAUAAGAGUACAAGCUACCUUCUGGAAGGGAAAGACGUAUAAGUUUUCACUACAUUAUUCUUCCCUUGAUCCCCAUUGAGUUUAUUAGGAAUAACAAUACAAAACUACGGAAUAUGCAAACUAUCCCUGCCUUCCCCAACUGGCCAUCUUGAAUAAACUCAUCUUUUGCUGUCAUUGCUUCUCUACAAAUUAAAAUCCAACAUGCUGAGUGUACUGAGCAUAAGCUUCAGACUGCAUGGCGAUUGGAGCCCGUGUAACACGAUCAGGAAGAUCGAAUGCAUCAACAAGUUCCCUUGCAAUGUUUCUCACUUCGAAACUAAGAUAUUCUGUGAGCUUGUGAAUUGCCUUAGCUUUGUUUGGUGCCACAUAAUCAACAUUGCGGUAUGUUCCUAUGUCAUUCCAAAUUCGAUCCAAGGCAUAAAGAUCACAAGCAAGUUUCAAAGCAGCUCGAGAACUUACAUCUGGGCAAUUCUGCACUGCUUCAAUAAAUUUCGCCAGGAUCACCGAUUCAAUAUGAGAUUCUGCAAGUGUAAGAAGGUGAUUCAAGCACCGAUUCCAAGCACCAAAACCCCCAAGAGUUUUGGAGUGCUUGUGAAGUCGGACAGCAACACUUUGAAGUAAUCGAGAUGUUCGGUGUCUGAAGGCAUCCAACUGGAAUUUAGGAUCUCUCAAGUGCUCAACACCUUCCCAGCGUGCAGUUACAGGAUUUGGUUGAGACAGAUAUGCGGUCAUGGAUUCUUUCAAGUAGUUCCAUGUAACUGCCAGUGUCCCACCUUGGAACUUUUCCUUGUAUUGCUUUAAGAGAUCACCUGCUACCUGUUGUAGAAGCACUGUGUUGUCCCCCUCGAAUGUCUGAAAAAUAUCAUGAUCAUUCCUCAAUGAACCAAACCGGUUGACAGCAGCAUAGCCAUGUCCUCCACAGGCUUCCCUGCAGACACUCAAUGACUUUGCUGUAUAUGAUGUCACAUAUGCCUUAAGGCCAGCUGAAAGCGAAUGGACAUCACCAACUAAUUGUUCAUCAUGAGUCUUUUUCAUCUCCGAAUAUUUUUCUACCAAAUGCAAUGUAGCAAAAUGGAAUGCAUAAGUUGAAGCUAGCAUUGGCAUGAGCUUGUGCUGUUGAGACUGAUAAUCAAGAAUGCUAACUUCAGGCUGCUUGGGAGGGCCAAACUGCUGGCGCAGCAAUGAAUAUCUGAUGGCAAUUGUUCCAGCAAGUUUGAGCACACCAACUGAAGAAUAUGCAAGGCCAACCCUUCCACCAACAAGUUCGCCUAGCGUAGCAGCAAAUCGCUUAUUUAUGGUUGGAAGGCUACUGGUGUACUUCCCAUCUCGAGACACAUCUCCAAAUCGAUUAAGAAGAUUGUCUCGGGGAAUUCUUACUGAACUGAACCUCAAUGCUCCAUUAUCUACCCCAUUCAGGCCAACCUUGUGGCCACAAUCAUGUAUUUCAAUUCCUGGAAGCGUCUGGUGGGUCUUCAAAUCCCUUAUUGGAACAAUGAAAGCAUGGACACCCAUAUCAGAGACACCCUUAGAAUCAUCAGUAGGCAACAUAAGCUUGGCAAAAACAGUGGCAAACUUGCCAUGAACUGCAGCAUUGCCAAUCCACCACUUGAUGGCUCCAUCAUGAGGAGUGUUGAUAACAAAUUCAUCCGUAAUUGGAUCAAAUGUUGCAACAGUUUGGAGUCCUUGAACAUUUGACCCAUGAUAUAGCUCUGUCAUAGCAAAACAACCUGGGUAGUCCAAAUUGUCAAUACCAUCAAAGUACUUAUCCCUAUGCUUUUUAGUUCCUAAGUUAAGUACAGAGCCUCCCCAAAGACUAUACUGGACUCCUAGCUUGAUCCCAAGCGACAUAUCCACGGCCCCAACAGCCUCGGCAAUGGCAAAAUACUUAGCAGGAUCCUCCACCACAUACCUAAAAGGCCUAAUCCCAGCCUCUCUGAUCAAACCAAAUAACUGCCGCCAGCAAAGCUCCCUGUGCUCAUCUUUGGAAAUCUCCACUGGGGUCUGCAACUCCGGCCUCGAGUUGAAGUACGUAUACACCUUCUCCUGUAUCUCCCUGUGAUUGCCUCUCAUGUAAAAGGACAGUUUCUCUGUAUCCACCUCCAACUUGGCCCUGGCGCACGCUACCAUCCCCAGUUGGUGGGACUCGUAAAGAGGGCGAGGAAUUGGGAUGAGGUGGAAGGAAAGGCGUUGGAUGCGGCGAGAAACGAUCUGGGUUUCAUCGUCGGCCGUCCAAUUUGGGUUUUCUGGAUCCAUUACCGUUUUUGCUGAGUUUUAAGGAUAGGAAAAGAGAAAUGGGCAAAAAUUGAUCUCUGAGUCCAACAAUAGAAAGCUUUCUCUUCUCUACUCUUCUUUGCUUUGCUUAUACGGUUCAGAAGGUGACGUGGGGGUUGUUAGGAUUGACACGUGGGUUUGAU